AUUGAACGCUGGCGGCAGGCCUAACACAUGCAAGUCGAGCGGAGCGGCGGACGGGCGGGUAAUGCCUAGGUAUCUGCCUGGUAGUGGGGGAGAACGUCCGGAAACGGGCGCUAAUACCGCAUACUAUCAGAUGAGCCUAGGUGGGUUUAGCUAGUUGGUGGGGUAAAGGCCUACCAAGGCGACGAUCCGUAACUGGUCUGAGAGGAUGAUCAGUCAUACUGGAACUUAGACACGGUCCAGACUCCUACGGGAGGCAGCAGUGGGGAAUAUUGGACAAUGGGCGAAAGCCUGAUGCAGCCAUGCCGCGUGUGUGAAGAAGGUCUUCGGAUUGUAAAGCACUUUAAGUUGGGAGGCGUUACCAACAGAAUAAGCACCGGCUAACUCCGUGCCAGCAGCCGCGGUAAUUC
rnacentral:rRNA from 1 species